AUGACUUGGGGUUUCAUCAUCACGCCAGAAACUUUGAACCAAAUAGUCGUGUAUGAUGCAGUACGAUGUGCCAAAGUUAUCCUGGUUGGUAAGCAUCCUGAGCUUCACGGGUUCCGAGCCAAUCCCAACUGCAUGACACGAUAUGGGUUCUUUCCCCUCCACCGAGCUGCUGAUAUGUUCUCUGUUGAUAUGAUUGAGUUGCUCUUGCGCCAUGGUGCGUCGGCCAAUUUACGCACAUCUGGUGAUGUGGUCACCGGUAACCUACUCCCACUCCAUGUUGCGGUUGAGAACACUUGCAUGCAUAAGUACCUUGAGGACAGUCUGAAUCCUAAUCAACAGCAAGUGGGCUGGAGCCAGGCAGAUUUCAACUAUAUCCUCAAGCUUAUUCACGUCCUGUGCCUACCCGAAAUGAAACUCUUCUUGGAUACGACUAGGCUGCUAGCCAACCACACAGAUAAUCUGUUAGAUGAGCUCUGCAAGUACAUAGGAGAUGGAAAGAUCGUCCAUGCAGUUGUUUUGCUCCUAGCAGCUCAAAAGCAGAUCCGCGGGCUAUCUUCCUGCAAGGAUGGGGGGAGUAGUAAGCGAGAUGGGUUUGGUACUAUCACUAACUAUGUUCUGGACAACAUUACUGCUAUAAGUUUGGAGAUGUGCAAAAACACACUGGAAAUGGAGCCACUAGAUGUGAAAAAUAAGCUUUUUUAUGUUACAUUGAAUCUUGUUCAUGUAAUUUCUAAAGCUGGUGAAGCUCUUGAUGCUUACAUGCAGUCUCAUCCGAAGGUAAAAACCUCGUAG
rnacentral:rRNA from 1 species